UUUAUUGGAGAGUUUGAUCCUGGCUCAGGAUGAACGCUGGCGGCGUGCCUAAUACAUGCAAGUCGAGCGAAUGGAUUGAGAGCUUGCUCUCAAGAAGUUAGCGGCGGACGGGUGAGUAACACGUGGGUAACCUGCCCAUAAGACUGGGAUAACUCCGGGAAACCGGGGCUAAUACCGGAUAACAUUUUGAACCGCAUGGUUCGAAAUUGAAAGGCGGCUUCGGCUGUCACUUAUGGAUGGACCCGCGUCGCAUUAGCUAGUUGGUGAGGUAACGGCUCACCAAGGCAACGAUGCGUAGCCGACCUGAGAGGGUGAUCGGCCACACUGGGACUGAGACACGGCCCAGACUCCUACGGGAGGCAGCAGUAGGGAAUCUUCCGCAAUGGACGAAAGUCUGACGGAGCAACGCCGCGUGAGUGAUGAAGGCU
rnacentral:rRNA from 1 species